GACAGAGGGUGCAAACGUUGUUCGGAAUUACUGGGCGUAAAGCGUGUGUAGGCGGCCGCGCAAGUCGGAUGUGAAAGCCCUGGGCUCAACUCAGGAAGUGCACCCGAUACUGCGUGGCUCGAGUACCGGAGAGGUUGGUGGAAUUCUCGGUGUAGAGGUGAAAUUCGUAGAUAUCGAGAGGAACACCUGUGGCGAAGGCGGCCAACUGGACGAGUACUGACGCUGAGACACGAAAGCCAGGGGAGCAAACGGG
rnacentral:rRNA from 1 species